GCCAGACUUGGAACCGGGAGAGGUAAGAAGUACUACAGGGGUAGGAGUGAAAUCUUGUAAUCCCUGUGGGACCACCUGUGGCGAAGGCGUCUUACCAGAACGGGUUCGACGGUGAGGGACGAAAGCUGGGGGCACGAACCGGAUUAGAUACCCGGGUAGUCCCAGCCGUAAACGAUGCUCGCUAGGUGUCAGGCAUGGCGCGACCGUGUCUGGUGCCGCAGGGAAGCCGUGAAGCGAGCCACCUGGGAAGUACGGCCGCAAGGCUGAAACUUAAAGGAAUUGGCGGGGGAGCACAACAACGGGUGGAAGCCUGCGGUUUAAUUGGACUCAACGCCGGACAACUCGACCGGGGGCGACAGCAAUAUGUAGGCCAAGCUGAAGACUUUGCCUGAAUCGCUGAGGAGAGGUGCAUGG
rnacentral:rRNA from 1 species